rnacentral:rRNA from 1 species
GUUCGAUCCUGGCUCCAGAUUGAACGCUGGCGGGAUGCUUUACACAUGCAAGUCGAACGGCAGCACGGACUUCCGGUCUGGUAGUGGCGAACGGGUGAGUAAUGUAUCGGAACGUGCCCUAGUAGCGAAGGGGAUAACUACGCGAAAGCGUAGCUAAACAUACGCCCUUCGAAGCGGGGGACAGCGGGCCUCGCACUAUUAGAGCGGCCGAUAUCGGAUUAGCUAGUUGGUGGGAGUAACGGCUCACCAAGGCGACGAUCCGUAGCUGGUUUUGAGAGGACGACCAGCCACACUGGGACGUAGGGCGGCCCGGAGCUCCUGCGAAGGAGGCAGCGGUGGGGAAUUUUGGACAAUGGAAACCUGAUCCAGCCAUCCCGCGUGUGCGAUGAAGGCCUUCGGGUUGUAAAGCGCGGCGGGAAAGAAACGGCGCAAUACCCCGUGCAACUGACAACCUGCAGAAUAAGCACCGAUAACUACGUGCCAGCAACCGCGCGGUAAUACGUAGGGUGCAAGCGUUAAUCAAUUACUGGGCGUAAAGCGUGCAUGACGGUUCGAAGAAGAUGUAGCAGGCUUAACUUUGGAACUGCAUUUUUUAACUACCGAGCUAGAGUGUGUCAGAGGGAGGUGGAAUUCCACGCGUGUAGCAGUGAAAUGCGUAGAUAUGCGGAGGAACACCAUUAGGCAGCCUCUGGAUAACACUGACGCUCAUGCACGAAAGCGUGGGAGCAAACAGGAUUAGAUACCCUGGUAGUCCACGCCCUAAACGAUGUCAACUAGCUGUUGGGGCCUUUGGGCCUUGGUAGCGCAGCUAACGCGUGAAGUUGACGCCUGGGAAGUACGGUCGCAAGAUUAAAACUCCAAAGGAAUUGACGGGGACCCGCACAAGCGGUGGAUGAUGUGGAUUAAUUCGAUGCAACGCGAAAAACCUUACCUACCCUUGACAUGUCUGGAAUCCCGAAGAGAUUUGGGGCCUUAUAAAGAGAACCGGAACACAGGUGCUGCAUGGCUGUCGUCAGCUCGUGUCGUGAGAUGUUGGGUUAAGUCCGCAACGAGCGCAACCCUUGUCGUGGACGUUGCUACGAAAGGGCACUCUAAUGAGACUGCCGGUGACAAACCGGAGAGUGGGGAUGACGUCAAGUCCUCAUGGCCCUUAUGGGUAGGGCUUCACACGUCAUACAAUGAACGGGACAGAGAGGUCGCCAACCCGCGAGAGGUAAUCCCAGAAACCCGAUCGUAGUCCGGAUCGCAGUCUGCAACUCGACUGCGUGAAGUCGGAAUCGCUAGUAAUCGCGGAUCAGCAUGUCGCGGUGAAUACGUUCCCGGGUCUUACACCGCCCGUCACACCAUGGGGAGUGGGUUUUACCAAAGUAGUUAGCCUAACCGCAAGAGGCGAUUACCACGGUAGGAUUCAUGACUGGGGUGAAGGAAGUCGUAACAAGGUAACUGGC